GAUGAACGCUGGCGGCGUGCCUAAUACAUGCAAGUCGAGCGAACAGACGAGGAGCUUGCUCCUCUGACGUUAGCGGCGGACGGGUGAGUAACACGUGGAUAACCUACCUAUAAGACUGGGAUAACUUCGGGAAACCGGAGCUAAUACCGGAUAAUAUAUUGAACCGCAUGGUUCAAUAGUGAAAGACGGUUUUGCUGUCACUUAUAGAUGGAUCCGCGCCGCAUUAGCUAGUUGGUAAGGUAACGGCUUACCAAGGCAACGAUGCGUAGCCGACCUGAGAGGGUGAUCGGCCACACUGGAACUGAGACACGGUCCAGACUCCUACGGGAGGCAGCAGUAGGGAAUCUUCCGCAAUGGGCGAAAGCUUGACGGAGCAACGCCGCGUGAGUGAUAAAGGUCUUCGGAUCGUAAAACUCUGUUAUUAGGGAAGAACAAAUGUGUAAGUAACUAUGCACGUCUUGACGGUACCUAAUCAGAAAGCCACGGCUAACUACGUG
rnacentral:rRNA from 1 species